rnacentral:rRNA from 1 species
GUGGGGAAUAUUGCACAAUGGGCGAAAGCCUGAUGCAGCAACGCCGCGUGAGUGAUGAAGGUCUUCGGAUUGUAAAGCUCUGUCUUUUGGGACGAUAAUGACGGUACCAAAGGAGGAAGCCACGGCUAACUACGUGCCAGCAGCCGCGGUAAUACGUAGGUGGCGAGCGUUGUCCGGAUUUACUGGGCGUAAAGGGUGCGUAGGCGGAUGUUUAAGUGAGAUGUGAAAUACCCGGGCUUAACUUGGGUGCUGCAUUUCAAACUGGAUAUCUAGAGUGCAGGAGAGGAGAAUGGAAUUCCUAGUGUAGCGGUGAAAUGCGUAGAGAUUAGGAAGAACACCAGUGGCGAAGGCGAUUCUCUGGACUGUAACUGACGCUGAGGCACGAAAGCGUGGGUAGCAAACAGGAUUAGAUACCCUGGUAGUCCACGCCGUAAACGAUGAGUACUAGGUGUAGGAGGUAUCGACCCCUUCUGUGCCGCAGUAAACACAUU